AUACGGAGGAUGCGAGCGUUAUCCGGAUUUAUUGGGUUUAAAGGGAGCGUAGGCGGGAGCUUCAGUCAGCGGUUAAAUGGUGCGGCUCAACCGUGCCCUGCCGUUGAAACUGGGUUUCUUGAGAGUGCAAGAGGCGGAUGGAAUUCAUGGGGUAGCGGUGUAAUGCUUAGAUAUCAUGAAGAACUCCGAUUGCGAAGGCAGUCCGCUGGGGCACGUCUGACGCUGAUGCUCGAAGGUGCGGGAAUCAAACAGGAUUAGAUACCCUGGUAGUCCGCACGGUAAACGAUGAUUACCCGCUGUCGGCGGUAGACAGUCGGCGGCCAAGCGAAAGCGAUAAGUAAUCCACCUGGGGAGUACGCCGGCAACGGUGAAACUCAAAGGAAUUGACGGGG
rnacentral:rRNA from 1 species